UUUAUAUUAUUUUCUAGUUCAUAAGUCUGUUGAGUGCCAUAGAGCAAGAAGUGUGAUGCAUCCUCAUGUAUCCUUAGCAUGGCUUAGAUCAAGAUAUGAGUAAUCGACGAAUUCUCAAGUGAGUAAUUCCAGUUUAAAGUUUGUUACAAGAAUGGAUUUGGGAGACUUUGCCGUUUUUAACAUAUUAGCAUACAACAUAUUAAUUUCAGACGAUGAUCGCUUUAUAUCCCUGUACUGGCAAGAAGUAAGCCCUCGGCAAGAUGUAUGAACGAUUUAAGCCCAUAUUUUCAGUUUUUUACCAGGUUAGAUUUGCGAAACGUUGAAUUUAGGUCGUAUCACAAUUCUAGCCUGGCAAUUUUGCUUGAAAAAUACCUCCUUUUAGAACAUUUUGAGAUAAGCGCACAAUUUUCAAGUGAUCGAAGACAGUUUAAUAAAAAAAAUAUUCAAUUUGCAUUUCAAUUUAGAAACACAAAUCAUGUGUGGUAUGUUUUAACUCAUACAUAACUUGUGUCUCUUAGAUCAAAUGUGAGUACACGACGAAUUCCCAAUUGAGAAGUCCCCGUUUUAAGUUUGUUACAAGAAUGGUACUUUGCUUGAGAAAUACUUAUAUUUGACCGAGAACAUAUACAGAAAGAGUGCAGGAUGCGAGCAUUCGGCAAAAGGGAUGAAAGAUUUCUAACCUGGCAACUUUGCUUGAAAAAUACCUCUGUUCAAAGAAACGAGAAAAGAAAACGUCCGUUUCAAAACUUAAUGGUAAUAUGGUG